rnacentral:antisense_RNA from 1 species
GUACCACUCAGACAGAGGAAUGAGACUCUUCUAUGCUUGCCCCAGACAGUUCUUAUCUGGUGUUCCUCUUUCAAAGUUGUCAUGCUGUAAAGUUGUGUUUUCACUGAUUUGCUGGAGUGCAGCAGCAUGAUUACAGCUCACAUCAGCCUCGACCUCCCGGGCUCAAGCUAUCCUCCUACCUCAGCCUCCCAAGUAGCUGGGACUAUAGGAUCUUUCUGCUGAUGCAGCUGUUAAGAGUGUUUCAUAAACUGUGACAACACUGAGCAAAAUCAUAGAAGGAAACUCUAUGGACAAUUUCAGAUGGAGAAGAAGAAAGGACUGGAAGUUCAAUUUGGCCAUGACAAUUAGACUUGAAGAAGCUGAGUGAGAAGGCCAUGCAGAUAUCUUGGAGAAGUGCAUUCCAGGCAGAGGAAAAGCCAGUGCAGAGACACUGAAGCAGGGCAUGACUGAUGUGUAUAAGGAGCAUCAUAUACAUGAUCAUCUACAGUCCACUGAGAAUAGCAGACGAAAGGCCAGGUGCAGUGCAUGUAAUCCCAGCACUUUGGGAGACUGAGAUGGGAAGAUCGCUUGAGGCCAGGAGUGCAAGACCAGCCUGGGCAACACAGCAAGACCUUGACUCUACUAAAAAAAAAAAAGGAUCCUUCAACUUCAACAAUAAUAACACGAGGGAAGUGAAGAAAAACACUUUCUAAGGAAAUCUCUCUCUGAGCUACCAUCCUGCUAGGGAGAGCCUGAAAGCAGAAUGCUGACUUGACUAGCUCUGGUCAAUGAAAGAAAUCACUAGUGGAAAGGCUACCAGGGGGCUUUCUCAAAAGAGAGGGACAGUAAACUGCAAGAUGAACAACUCAAUGCCAUCCAGGUCUGGAUGAGAAAGAACAGUCG